GAACGCUGGCGGCGUGCUUAACACAUGCAAGUCGAACGGAAAGGCCCUGCUUUUGUGGGGUGCUCGAGUGGCGAACGGGUGAGUAACACGUGAGUAACCUGCCCUUGACUUUGGGAUAACUUCAGGAAACUGGGGCUAAUACCGGAUAGGAGCUCCUGCUGCAUGGUGGGGGUUGGAAAGUUUCGGCGGUUGGGGAUGGACUCGGGGCUUAUCAGCUUGUUGGUGGGGUAGUGGCUUACCAAGGCUUUGACGGAUAGCCGGCCUGAGAGGGUGACCGGCCACAUUGGGACUGAGGUACGGCCCAGACUCGAACAGGAGGCAGCAGUGGGGAAUAUUGCACAGUGAGCGGAAGCGUGAUGAAGAGACGCCGCGUGCGGAAAGACGGCAUUCGGGUUAUAAAACGCAGAAGCCUGUGACGAAGCGUGAGUGACGGUAAUGGGUAAAGAAGCACCGGCUAACUACGUG
rnacentral:rRNA from 1 species